rnacentral:rRNA from 1 species
AGCGUGGAGACAGGUGGUGCAUGGCUGUCGUCAGCUCGUGUCGUGAGAUGUUGGGUUAAGCCCCGCAACGAGCGCAACCCUCACCCCUUGUUGCCAUCAGGUCAUGCUGGGCACUCUAGGGGAACUGCCCCGGUCAACGGGGAGGAAGGCGGGGAUGACGUCAAGUCAUCAUGCCCCUUACGUCCUGGGCUACACACGUGCUACAAUGGCCGGUACAAAGGGAUGCCACACCGCGAGGUAGAGCUAAACCCAAAAAGCCGGUCUAAGUUCAGAUUGGAGUCUGCAACUCGACUCCAUGAAGGAGGAAUCGCUAGUAAUCGCGUAUCAGCACGACGCGGUGAAUACGUUCCCGGGCCUUGUACACACCGCCCGUCACACCACGAAAGCCAGCUGUACUCGAAGUCGCUGAG